rnacentral:rRNA from 1 species
AGAGAUGCAUUGGGCAUAAAGCGUGCGCAGGCGGUUUUGUAAGACAGAGGUGAAAUCCCCGGGCUCAACCUGGGAACUGCCUUUGUGACUGCAAGGCUGGAGUGCGGCAGAGGGGGAUGGAAUUCCGCGUGUAGCAGUGAAAUGCGUAGAUAUGCGGAGGAACACCGAUGGCGAGGGCAAUCCCCUGGGCCUGCACUGACGCUCAUGCACGAAAGCGUGGGGAGCAAACA